AUUCUCUCCCCUCAGCUUUCCGAGUAGCUGAGAAUGUAGGCAAAUGCCUCCAUGCAUAGAUAAUUUUAAGAAAAAAAUUCUGUAGAGAUAGAGUCUUGCCAUAUUGCCCAGGGUGGAAACUCCUGACCAAGUGAUCCUCCUGCCUCAGCCUCCCAAAGUGCUGNNNNNNNNNNUAAAAAAAAAAAAAAAAAAAAAAAGAAAAGAAAUCUGAAAAAAGUAUGGACUUUCAGAUACAUUUUUUUUCCUCUAUUUUUAUUUAUCUUUGAUACUUUCUAUAAUAAAAUGUUAAACAGGCUGGACGCGGUGGCUCACGCCUGUAAUCCCAGCACUUUGGGAGGCCAAAGCGGGCAGAUUACCUGAGGUCAGGAGUCCGAGACCAGCCUGGCCAACAUGGUGAAACCCCAUCUCUACUAAAAAUAUAAAAAUCAGCCAGGCAUGGUGGUGAGUGCCUGUAAUCCCAGCUACUCUGGAGGCUGAGACGAGAAUCGCUUGAACCGGGGAGGCAGAGGUUGCAGUGAGCCGAGAUCACGCCACUGCUCCAUCUCAAAAAAAUAAAUAAAAUAAAAUACAUAAAAAAUAAAAUGUUAAACAAAAACAAACAAAAAGAAAGAGAGCCAUUCAGCAUAAAUACCUCUCAAGGGGUUUCACCUUUGGAAGCAGAUAAAUGGGACAGUAGGUACAAGGGAAACGGGUUUUUCAAGUUUUUCAUUAAGAUACUGGACACAUCAAUAGGUAUACGUACAUACCUUGUAGCUCGCAGAUUUAAUUCCAUCAGGAACUUAGGCNNNNNNNNNNNNNNNNNNNNNNN
rnacentral:lncRNA from 1 species